rnacentral:rRNA from 1 species
UACGUAGGGGGCGAGCGUUGUCCGGAUUUAUUGGGCGUAAAGAGCGUGUAGGCGGCCAGGUAGGUCUGCUGUGAAAACUCGAGGCUCAACCUCGAGACGUCGGCGGAAACCAUCUGGCUAGAGUCCGGAAGAGGAGAGUGGAAUUCCUGGUGUAGCGGUGAAAUGCGCAGAUAUCAGGAAGAACACCCGUGGCGAAGGCGGCUCUCUGGGACGGUACUGACGCUGAGACGCGAAAGCGUGGGGAGCAUACAGG